UUUCCGUAGGUGAACCUGCGGAAGGAUCAUUAACGAGUUCAUGCCCUCACGGGUAGAUCUCCCACCCUUGAGUAUUUAUACCUUAGUUGCUUUGGCAGGCCGUGGCAACACCAUGGGCUCCGGCUUAUGCGUGCCUGCCAGAGGAAACAAACUCUGUUUUUAGUGAUGUCUGAGUACUUUAUAAUAGUUAAAACUUUCAACAACGGAUCUCUUGGUUCUG
rnacentral:misc_RNA from 1 species